rnacentral:rRNA from 1 species
UUCAAUGAGUGCCUUCUCUUCGGAGUUGGCCAUCCACACACACCGUGAACUGUGGCUUCGGCCAUUACAAACUAUUAGUAAUGAAUGUAAAAUCAUAACAAAAUAAAACUUUUAACAACGGAUCUCUUGGCUCUCGCAUCGAUGAAGAACGCAGCGAAAUGCGAUAAGUAAUGUGAAUUGCAGAAUUCAGUGAAUCAUCGAAUCUUUGAACGCACCUUGCGCCCUUUGGUAUUCCGAAGGGCAUGCCUGUUUGAGUGUCAUGAAACCUCACCCCACUUGGGUUUUUGCCUGAGCGGUUGGUGGAUUGGGCGUUGCCAGUAUAACGGCUCGCCUGAAAAGCAUAAGCACCUUGGAUGUAAUACGUUUCAUCCUUAUGGGUGGCUAAUAACCCCACAUAUUCAUGAUCUGGCCUCAAAUCAGGUAGGGCUACCCGCUGAACUUAAGCAUAUCAAUAAGCGGAGGA